UGUAGAGGAUAACUCUGCAUAACGUGAUCAAGUAACCUAACAUUCCAAUCACUUAGACCAUGAUUCUUGAAAAUUAGAAACAAAACUACCAUUGCAACUGCACUGGGUUUAAAAUAGCGCUUCAACCCUUGAGGCGAUGGGAAGGUCAAGCUCGCCUCCAAGCUAUAGCCUCACUUCGUAACGCCUCACCAACUUAAGGUGUAGUCUGAACCUACACGUAAGAUUAGGGGUUAGGACAUAUAAAUCAUUCAGAUUCUUCUAUUCUUUGUAAUUAUCCUAGACCAUUAAAAUUAAAAAUAAAUAGUUCUCCAUAAAAUAAAACUUAAAAGAAAAUUAAUCCCAACAAAAUGUUCAAAAAGCAGAGAAUCAAACCAACAAAGUCUUAAAACAUAAAAUCAAACCAACAUAAACUUUUUUUAAAAAAGUGUAAAAUAAGUUUUGAUUGGAAACUUACCGUUAGUCACAGUGAAGCGUGAGGCUUCCAAAGCGGCUCGAGUCAAGGUUGAAGCGACGCUUUCUUGAAUUCGUCUUGCUUCAGGACUCCGAGGUGGCGACCCCCAAACAAAGGUCGCCUCACGCUAAGGCGCACGCUUUUUAAACCCGUAACUGCACAUGUCAAAGAGAAAUUCAAAAUUCACUUAUAUCUUAUAAGAGGUGACCAUGCUCCCAAUGGCUUUAGAUGAUAGAAAUGAACUUAAGUAUGGCAAAUUUUCUCAUAGAAAAAAAUUCAGUUGUAAUGCCAACAACGUUUUUCUCCACGAUAAGGGUAGCAUGAAGAAGGAAUACAACAACUAUAGGAGCCAUGUAAAGGAAGAGAUUCAUAGAGUUUAGCUUCUUCCCUCAAACAAAUUCACUAAAAAUAAUUUCAGUGGCACUCUUAACAGAUACAGACUUCAGAAAGAUAGAAUUGUAUCCAAUAAGCUGCAAAAAAUUGCUGUGAUUUCUUACCCUUCUGAAGAUAGCCAAUUUCAUUGAAGAACUGACUUAAGCGCUCUUGUAGUUGUGACUGCAACACAUAAUGAAUCCAAAUAGGUGGAAACUUGGUUAUCCCUGAUGGGCACAUAAAAAGCGAUAAGAAUUUCAGUCAAUGCAUAAAAACGAAGCUCUGAACGAAAUAAAAUAGUUCCAAGUGUAUAAGCAUACUCGGCACACAUACACGUAAAUUCCUUUUCUAGGUAACUAUUGCACAACAAACAAUAUGCAUAUUUGUGAAGUGACUGAAGUAAAGUAAGUAACUUUACAGAACUCAGCAGCUUCGAGCUGAGAGCAAUCCCAAAGGUUUUCUAAGAUGAAAUGUAAGUAUGAUCUAUACACAUGACUUGAAAUCUAUCAGGCUCAGCUUGUUAUCUUCUUUCUAUUCCUAAACCACAUCAAACUUGGUUUUAUGCCUCUACUUAAACCAUGUCCUUAAAGCUUGUCACUUCAGCCAUAAAACAACACUAUGUACCUUGAUUUAAACAUGUAGCUUGAAUCCCAUCAAGAACAGAAACACCUCAAAUAAUCUAUCUUUAAUUCACCUACUUUUGCGAAAUAUGAAUUUCUGUAAUUCCUGCCUGAGAAACAUAUAAGGAAACAAUAUUAGAAAAUGAAUCAUAAAUGAACAAAAAUGAGAUUUUCUUAUGAAGGAUGGAAGCUUUUCUUUGAGACUUACAAAUCUUCGACGUAUUUAGAAGCGGUCAUGAUUUUGGUGAUGUGCGUGGGCAAGACUGAUUCUAAGACCAUGAUUGAUUUCUGUAAACCGAAAGACCAUCUUUUAAUUGGCUGGUCAUAUCAGGAUUUGACGGCUAAGAACGAUCUAGGGUUUGGCAACGUUGGGUGGAAGAAGACGACGCCGGUGAAGUCUCUGUUUACUUUGCUAUAAAUGUGGUAAAUGGUUUUUGGUUAAUCAAAUACUUAUCAAUUAUUAACUGGCAUUAGAUCGUAAUUAUUUAGAAAAAAUCAGGGUUAUUCUUAUUUAUACUUCUGUUUUAUCAUACUUUCUUAAAGAUAUUCUCUUAAUUGGUGACUGGUCUUCAUGAUCCCAAUAUAUUGCAAUUUGUAAAGAGUCAGGUCAAAGAGAAACAGUACAAGAAAAAGUGGUAUUGAUACAUAUUAUAUUAUGAUAGCGUUGUUUUACGAACUGCUAUUAAAAAUCAAACAAAAAUUAAAGUUUAUAUUAAUAGCAGUUUAUUAAUGCUACCGUGUAAAAUUAGUGAGCAGAAACAGAAAAUCACUGCCAAUAUUUAGGUGAAUGUUAGCCACGCGUUAAGACAUAUGUUUUUCUUUUUUUUUCAAUAGCACAUUACGAUAGCAUUAUUUUAAAAACUGUUAUGAAAAAUCAAUUUCUAAUCUUUGAAAUCUUAACCCUAAACAUGUUUUAAACCCUAAACUCUAAAAGUAAACCUUGAAACUCUUAUCACCCUAAACUCUAAAAGUAAACCUUAAAACUCUUAUCUUUUGAUACCAUAACCCGAAAUUAUAAACUUACACUCAAAACUAUUCCUUUUAAUCUUAGUCUUUAACUUCCAAAACACAAACCUUAAAUCUUUAGUCAAACUCUAUACCCUAAGCUCUAUACAUAAACCCUAUACAUAAACCUUAUAAUCCAAAUUAUAAAUAUAAACACUAACAUAUUGUAUUCAACACCCCCAUACUGUUCAUAUUUUAGUUCCAAAUUUUAAAAAAGUUCAAAAUUUAGUUAUUUUCAAAUUUUAAUCUCAAAAUCUUAAAACCAACCCUUAACAUCACACUUCAAACCCUAAAACCUACAUCCAAAUCAUAAUCUAAAUAUUAAUCUAAUAUUUUAAAACUUAAACAUCAAACCUUAAUAUAAACUUUCAAAACAAAAAUUAAAACUCAAAUCUUACGCUAACUCCAAACACCAUAUAUUAAAAUUCACAAAUUAAACUUCAAAUCCAAUAUUCUCUACUUAAAUCUAAAAAUCUUAAAAAUAGCUCUACACUCAAAAUUUUAAAAUAAUACAAAUCUUAAUCCCAACCCCAAAUUUUUUUACUCAAAAUACUCUUAACAUAAAUAUUAAUCUUAAAACUUUAUUCAAUGAUCUAAUCACUUUAUAUUUAUUCACAAUUUAUUCAACUUUAAAUGUAACUGCAAGUAUAUUUCCUAAUUUUAAUCCUAAUUUUUUAUAAAUUAUAAACUACAAAAAUACAAAUUUUGAAUAAAACAUAACUUAGAAAAAUUACAAGCAAAAAAUUACCAAAUAAAGAAAGACAAAACAAAAGAAAAUAAAAAAGAAAGAUAAAGUUAUUUUGUCAAACCAGAACCAUAUACAAGGAUCACCGUCUCAGCUGUUGGAUUACAUUAAAUCAACGGUUGAGAUUAAUCUUUUUCUUUAUUCUUUUCUUUUUCUCUCUGGCUCCCUCUCUCUCUCUCUCUCUCUCUCUCUCUCUCUCUCGAGAUUCAUUCUCUCAUCUUCUUUCACACUCUCAUCUCUUCCAUCUCUAUACACUUGAAAUCUCACAAACUCUCUCAUGUCUCACUUUUCAGAUCUGGUCAACUGAGAAAGGAUGGAGAUGCUAAUGUAGACGACGAAGACAGAGACUCGCUGGGACGAAGCGCCGAGGCUCACCGGAGAAGAAGACGCGCCAGAGUAGAUGAGGCAGAGAAGAUGAUGUUUGGUGGUGGUGCAUAGGUCCGAGGAAGAGGUAGAAGAAGAAGAGGGGAAGGCAAUGAGUUUGGUCGCUUUGGCGGUAGAUCUCGAAGAAGAUGGAUGAGAUGGAGCUUCAGGGAGACGACCACGAUGGCGGCGUGGAGAAGGUCCAAGCUCCGGUGUGCUGGAGCUCUCGUGAUGUACUCUCGGUGGAGGGAAGCGGCGGCAGUGACAUUAGUUAGGUUUAGGGUUAGGUUAUAUUUUUUAAUUAAAUUUUAUUGUUAACUAGAUUUGGUUUAGUUUUGUAAAUCUGUUUAAUUGUAAACCGAUUAAAUUUAUAAAACAGAUUUCUAUUUGGUUAA